rnacentral:rRNA from 1 species
GGGUUGUGAGGUUAAGCGACUAAGCGUACACGGUGGAUGCCCUGGCAGUCAGAGGCGAUGAAGGACGUGCUAAUCUGCGAUAAGCGUCGGUAAGGUGAUAUGAACCGUUAUAACCGGCGAUUUCCGAAUGGGGAAACCCAGUGUGUUUCGACACACUAUCAUUAACUGAAUCCAUAGGUUAAUGAGGCGAACCGGGGGAACUGAAACAUCUAAGUACCCCGAGGAAAAGAAAUCAACCGAGAUUCCCCCAGUAGCGGCGAGCGAACGGGGAGCAGCCCAGAGCCUGAAUCAGUGUGUGUGUUAGUGGAAGCGUCUGGAAAGGCGCGCGAUACAGGGUGACAGCCCCGUACACAAAAAUGCACAUGCUGUGAGCUCGAUGAGUAGGGCGGGACACGUGGUAUCCUGUCUGAAUAUGGGGGGACCAUCCUCCAAGGCUAAAUACUCCUGACUGACCGAUAGUGAACCAGUACCGUGAGGGAAAGGCGAAAAGAACCCCGGCGAGGGGAGUGAAAAAGAACCUGAAACCGUGUACGUACAAGCAGUGGGAGCACGCUUAGGCGUGUGACUGCGUACCUUUUGUAUAAUGGGUCAGCGACUUAUAUUCUGUAGCAAGGUUAACCGAAUAGGGGAGCCGAAGGGAAACCGAGUCUUAACUGGGCGUUAAGUUGCAGGGUAUAGACCCGAAACCCGGUGAUCUAGCCAUGGGCAGGUUGAAGGUUGGGUAACACUAACUGGAGGACCGAACCGACUAAUGUUGAAAAAUUAGCGGAUGACUUGUGGCUGGGGGUGAAAGGCCAAUCAAACCGGGAGAUAGCUGGUUCUCCCCGAAAGCUAUUUAGGUAGCGCCUCGUGAAUUCAUCUCCGGGGGUAGAGCACUGUUUCGGCAAGGGGGUCAUCCCGACUUACCAACCCGAUGCAAACUGCGAAUACCGGAGAAUGUUAUCACGGGAGACACACGGCGGGUGCUAACGUCCGUCGUGAAGAGGGAAACAACCCAGACCGCCAGCUAAGGUCCCAAAGUCAUGGUUAAGUGGGAAACGAUGUGGGAAGGCCCAGACAGCCAGGAUGUUGGCUUAGAAGCAGCCAUCAUUUAAAGAAAGCGUAAUAGCUCACUGGUCGAGUCGGCCUGCGCGGAAGAUGUAACGGGGCUAAACCAUGCACCGAAGCUGCGGCAGCGACACUAUGUGUUGUUGGGUAGGGGAGCGUUCUGUAAGCCUGUGAAGGUGUGCUGUGAGGCAUGCUGGAGGUAUCAGAAGUGCGAAUGCUGACAUAAGUAACGAUAAAGCGGGUGAAAAGCCCGCUCGCCGGAAGACCAAGGGUUCCUGUCCAACGUUAAUCGGGGCAGGGUGAGUCGACCCCUAAGGCGAGGCCGAAAGGCGUAGUCGAUGGGAAACAGGUUAAUAUUCCUGUACUUGGUGUUACUGCGAAGGGGGGACGGAGAAGGCUAUGUUGGCCGGGCGACGGUUGUCCCGGUUUAAGCGUGUAGGCUGGUUUUCCAGGCAAAUCCGGAAAAUCAAGGCUGAGGCGUGAUGACGAGGCACUACGGUGCUGAAGCAACAAAUGCCCUGCUUCCAGGAAAAGCCUCUAAGCAUCAGGUAACAUCAAAUCGUACCCCAAACCGACACAGGUGGUCAGGUAGAGAAUACCAAGGCGCUUGAGAGAACUCGGGUGAAGGAACUAGGCAAAAUGGUGCCGUAACUUCGGGAGAAGGCACGCUGAUAUGUAGGUGAAGUCCCUCGCGGAUGGAGCUGAAAUCAGUCGAAGAUACCAGCUGGCUGCAACUGUUUAUUAAAAACACAGCACUGUGCAAACACGAAAGUGGACGUAUACGGUGUGACGCCUGCCCGGUGCCGGAAGGUUAAUUGAUGGGGUUAGCGCAAGCGAAGCUCUUGAUCGAAGCCCCGGUAAACGGCGGCCGUAACUAUAACGGUCCUAAGGUAGCGAAAUUCCUUGUCGGGUAAGUUCCGACCUGCACGAAUGGCGUAAUGAUGGCCAGGCUGUCUCCACCCGAGACUCAGUGAAAUUGAACUCGCUGUGAAGAUGCAGUGUACCCGCGGCAAGACGGAAAGACCCCGUGAACCUUUACUAUAGCUUGACACUGAACAUUGAGCCUUGAUGUGUAGGAUAGGUGGGAGGCUUUGAAGUGUGGACGCCAGUCUGCAUGGAGCCGACCUUGAAAUACCACCCUUUAAUGUUUGAUGUUCUAACGUUGACCCGUAAUCCGGGUUGCGGACAGUGUCUGGUGGGUAGUUUGACUGGGGCGGUCUCCUCCUAAAGAGUAACGGAGGAGCACGAAGGUUGGCUAAUCCUGGUCGGACAUCAGGAGGUUAGUGCAAUGGCAUAAGCCAGCUUGACUGCGAGCGUGACGGCGCGAGCAGGUGCGAAAGCAGGUCAUAGUGAUCCGGUGGUUCUGAAUGGAAGGGCCAUCGCUCAACGGAUAAAAGGUACUCCGGGGAUAACAGGCUGAUACCGCCCAAGAGUUCAUAUCGACGGCGGUGUUUGGCACCUCGAUGUCGGCUCAUCACAUCCUGGGGCUGAAGUAGGUCCCAAGGGUAUGGCUGUUCGCCAUUUAAAGUGGUACGCGAGCUGGGUUUAGAACGUCGUGAGACAGUUCGGUCCCUAUCUGCCGUGGGCGCUGGAGAAUUGAGGGGGGCUGCUCCUAGUACGAGAGGACCGGAGUGGACGCAUCACUGGUGUUCGGGUUGUCAUGCCAAUGGCACUGCCCGGUAGCUAAAUGCGGAAGAGAUAAGUGCUGAAAGCAUCUAAGCACGAAACUUGCCCCGAGAUGAGUUCUCCCUGACUCCUUGAGAGUCCUGAAGGAACGUUGAAGACGACGACGUUGAUAGGCCGGGUGUGUAAGCGCAGCGAUGCGUUGAGCUAACCGGUACUAAUGAACCGUGAGGCUUAACCUUACAACGCCGAAGGUGUUU